rnacentral:rRNA from 1 species
GACGAACGCUGGCGGCGUGCUUAACACAUGCAAGUCGAACGGAAAGGCCCUGCUUUUGUUGGUUUCUCGAGUGGCGAACGGGUGAGUAACACGUGAGUAUCCUGCCCUUGACUUUGGGAUAACUUCAGGAAACUGGGGCUCAUACCGGAUAUGAGCUCCUGCUGCAUGUUGGGGGUUGGAAAGUUUCGGCGGUUGUGGAUGGACUCGCGGCUUAUCAGCUUGUUUGUGGGGUAGUGGCUUACCAAGGGUUAGACGGGUAGCCGGCCUGAGAGGGUGACCGGGGACAAGGGGACUGAGAGACGGCGCAGAAGCGAACGGGAGGCAGCAGGGGGAAGUAUGGCAGAAUGAGCGGAAGCGUGAGGCAGAGACGCCGGGUGCGGGAUGACGGCUUUCGGGGUGUGAACAGAUGUGGAAGGUGACGAAGAGGGAGUGACGGUAAUGGGUAAAGAAGCAACGGCUAACUACGUG